rnacentral:rRNA from 1 species
UUGCACGCUGGCGGCCGGCCUCACACAUGCAAGUCGCGCGGAUGAAGGGAGCUUGCUCCUGGAUUCAGCGGCGGACGGGUGAGUAAUGCCUAGGAAUCUGCCUGGUAGUGGGGGAUAACGUCCGGAAACGGGCGCUAAUACCGCAUACGUCCUGAGGGAGAAAGUGGGGGAUCUUCGGACCUCACGCUAUCAGAUGAGCCUAGGUCGGAUUAGCUAGUUGGUGGGGUAAAGGCCUACCAAGGCGACGAUCCGUAACUGGUCUGAGAGGAUGAUCAGUCACACUGGAACUGAGACACGGUCCAGACUCCUACGGGAGGCAGCAGUGGGGAAUAUUGGACAAUGGGCGAAAGCCUGAUCCAGCCAUGCCGCGUGUGAAGAAGGUCUUCGGAUUGUAAAGCACUUUAAAUUGGGAGGAAGGGCAGUAAGUUAAUACCUUGCUGUUUUGACGUUACCAACAGAAUAAGCACCGGCUAACUUCGUG